CUAAUGCCUAUGAUACAUUUCUACUUAAACCAAAAUAAGUUUGCUACAAAUAAACAUGCAUUUAUAAGAAAUUAAUGUCUAGUAAAACGUUUCCGUAACUUUACAUGAAGUUACUAACCGAAACCUACAGAAACAGACCAUAGAGUUUUUCACUAUAUAAAUCGCAGACCGCAAAAAUUAAAAAGAGGACAAGCUUAGUAGUUCCACUCAUGUUCCAAUCCUAAAAGAUUCCUCAGUGAGUACACUAUCUUCGCUAAAGGCGCCGCAAUAAAAGCAAGUUUAUUGCGGCGCCUCUCAAUAGAGAUUCGAAAAAUUUGUUUGCGGGAAUUCGUAGUGUUUUUUUUUUCUUUCUUAACCUAGGCAGGACAUUAGGCAGUAUAAUAGCAAGAGCUUGACGGCGCAACCCACCGUUCCGUUCCAAAGGAGACGCUCAUAACAUCCAUCCAUUUAUUUUAACCAACAAACUUUCUCCCACCUUAUCAUAACGCUUUUAUUAUUAUUAUUAUUAUUAUUAUUAUUAUUAGUAGUAGUAGUAGUAGUAGUAGUAGUAGUAGUAGUAGUAGUAGUAGUAGGAGUAGUCAGAAAUACCUAUUCGAGCUCCCACGUGACCUAUGCCCCCACUGAGGCCACGGUUUAAAAUUUUAGCGGUUUGUCGGUUUUUCACGCGGCUUCCUGGUUAACGCGUCUUUUGCGCUAUGAUUUUUCACGUUAGUUCGCUUGUUUGAAGUGGCGCACUCGGUAGCGGCGAAGUAGAGAUCUUCAGCUGUGCGAUCUGCAUCGUACGCGGAUCCGGAUUGCAAAGGCUUGUCUGCGGAAGGACAUACCGUAAUCAACGACUACCUUUGCGGCCUGGAAUUUAGCAAGCUGACAACGAGCAUCACACACAUGCAAAGCUAAAAUUUUGCUAACAGGAGCAAGAAAGCUCUCCAGUAAAAGUGCUGCAGCUAGUGCACAAAUCCAAGCAAGACACAAGCUUAAAGCAGGCAUGAUCAAUGUAAAGCUACAGAUUGCAAGCAUGAAAACAAAGCUCAGCUGUCCCCCCAGGACAGCCGAGCUGUACUCCAGAUGCGACCCCAAGGCUUUUAAUUGGCUUUUAAUUCAUGAUGUUUGGCAUACACCUCAAGGGUGCAUUAUCUGUCAUGCUUGUUGGGUGCUGAUCCUAUAAGUAGUAGUUUUUAUAUAGCGUUCAGAAUAUUCAGUUAGAAUUGACUGGAAAGGUUUGCCUAACUUUCUCUGCCUAAUCCACAAACUGUACCACAAUACAUCCUUACACGAAUAUUUUUUUCAGCCAGCACUAGCUUUUUUUCCACGACAUGGUCCACCUUUCAAAGUAUGUACCCCAUGCGGUACACCAAAUUUUCCAUGAUCCUUCAUCCCCUAUACCAUUAUCAACUGGAGGAGCUUGCCACAUCGUAGUGCCAUAAAUACUAAUUUUGAGAUUUUCCACAGCCUUCUUCUGUUUGGACGUCCCAGCCUUGUACAUAGGUUUUACUAUAUUUACCCCUCUCUGGUGCUGCUCUGAGUGCGGCACUUCUCAGGACCUUAUUAAAGUUGUUUGUUUGUCUGUC